NACUCUCGACAACGGAUAUCUCGGCUCUCGCAUCGAUNAAGAACGUAGUGAAAUGCGAUACUUGGUGUGAAUUGCANAAUCCCGUGAACCAUCGAGUCUUUGAACGCAAGUUGCGCCCGAAGCCUUCUGGCCGANGGCACGUCUGCCUGGGCGUC
rnacentral:rRNA from 1 species